rnacentral:rRNA from 1 species
CCUACGGGGGGGCAGCAGUGGGGAAUAUUGGGCAAUGGGAGAAAUCCUGACCCAGCAACGCCGCGUGGAGGAUGAAGGCCUUCGGGUUGUAAACUCCUGUCAGCAGGGAAAAGAUUGCAAAAGCUAAUACCUUUUGCAGUUUGAUGGUACCUGCUAAGGAAGCACCGGCUAACUACGUGCCAGCCGCG